AUGCUUCUAGACAUACCAAAACGAGUAAUAAAACCAAGCAGAAUGGUGAAGUCCCCAUUUCUUUGCAAACAGUACCAAUGUGUCAGGCUUGAUGUCCAGGCACAAGAAGAUUUAUUCACAUAUACAAACUCAAUUUCUGCUGCCGACCAACUGAGAAAAAUUUGGCUACACAUAUCUGAUCCAGUCCCAAGGUUCCUAAAAUUGCAACAGAUACAAGAAGCCCUCGCAUUUGACGCUGAAAUGCAAGAUGAUGCAUUCAAUGUUGCUGUCCAAGCACUAUUCGAGGAUGAGGUGCACAGAUUCGGGGGAACAGAUUUCCUAGGCUGGAGGCACUUCUUGAAUCAAGAUUUCGCGAUGCACGCAACCGCUGGUGGCGCAGACUGGAACCCCGAGGAUCAUGUCUACUUAUUCAACGACAUUCACAUACCAUACGACGUCUCAAAAAGCCGUCUGAUAUAUAUCCCUCUCCACCAACCGUUUCAUUUCUCAGUCUACGCAUUUGAUAUGGAGAACGAGAAGAUUCAGAUCAUGGACCCCUUAAGAGAUACAAGCAAAGGAGGGCAGGACAUUGAAGCUAGGCACUCUAAGACUAAAAAUCAUAUUGCGAAAGCAUUGCAGGAUUGCAUGGUCAUCUCUUUUCCAGACUGGAAACGCAAUAUUUCUAGCUGGCAGCAUGAGUUCCCAACAAAUAUUCCAGCAACUGCUAACAGGAUUGAUACUGCUUUCCACGUUCUGCAUAUCAUGAGAAAUUGGGAUGCAAAAUGCUUAGUCAAUCCAGUCUCUAGUGACUCUCGAGAUUUGCGGAAGGUCUUCCUUGCCAACCUCCUGUCAUUCACAAGUAAUGAGGCCAUACUCCCAGAAAGUGUCAACUACUACAUCAAAGCACUCAGGAGGAACUGA
rnacentral:rRNA from 1 species